UGGAAACAGAUAAACAGAUGUUGGUCGACGCCCAUCUGAGGCUGAUGUGAAUGUCACCUCUGCAGGUAUUUAAUCAUAAACUAAAGUAGAAUUCCCACAUCUCAGCGGUUUGCCUCCACACACCUGUCAGGUUGAUGUUCCUGAGCUGUGGUGCUAUGAUGACACAGUGGAGCUGACCUUUGACCUUUAGAUAUAAAAUGUCUUCAGCUCAUCCUGUUUGACAAAUAUGUGAUUUUUUUUUUUGUCAUACUUAUUAUAUGAAUAGUUAGGUUAUGGCCAAAAAUGUGUUUUGUGAGGUCACAGGGACCUGAGCUUUGACUUCUAAUCAGUUUUAGUGGAAUUGUGCCAAAUUUGAAGAAAUUCUUGAGAUAUUGGGACAGGCAGGCAACCUGGAAACAUAAUGCCUCCGGAUGGAAUCAAAAGUCAGAGGAUCACCAAAGUUUUCACAGUUCGUCCUGAUGGGAACAUUUCAGGAUAAUCAUUUCAAUAGUCAGUGAGACAAUCCACUCAAAACCACAAACUGAACCUCAUGGUGGCGCUGGAGUUCAAGUGAAGAGGACCACCAAAGUCAGCAGGAUUCAUCCUCUGGGGAACAUGAAUGUCUCCGCCUAAUUUAACGACGAUCCAUCCAUUAGCAGUUGAGUUAUUUUAGCCUGGACCAAAGUGAUAGAUCAGCCUCACACUUGACAUUGCCAUACAUCGUGCUGGAGCUAUUUAUUGACGAAGUGACUCUAAGCAGCAUCUUCAGUCCUGAGCUCAUGGUGGAGGGGGUUCAGGUUUCAGCUCCAAACGCUACAGUCAACUAAACUCAGCUGAGUCCUGAGUCGAGUGGUGAUUAAGCCAAAACUGUAAAUAUCCCACAUGUUUGAUUAACACUUCCACUAUCAUUUUAAAAGUGUUAAUCUCACUCAGUGUUACUGUGGUUGACGUUUAUUAGCUGCCUUCAACUCAUAAAAAAAUAUCUGAAAGCACGAAUGACUAAAAUAGCACCAUAAAGCUGACUGUUGGACUGAUUUAGAUAAAGGCAUGCCAAUAACAUGCCGGCCAAUGAGCACGGCUUACUGCGGCACGCCAGCGAUUCAGAAAAUACACCGCACCGCCUGAGGAAUGUGAGACUGAGAGCUGGAACAAAUGUCCUUCAUGGAGCCACGAGACGAGGAUAAAUCCCAUCUACAGUCCUGGUUUAUAAAACACAGAGGACAUCACACUUCAUCUCCGAGAACUUUACUGCCUGAAGGGAGGAGGUCAGAGGUCACCGCCGUCUGACCAGAGAUGAACACGCAGAGUGAGGGUCAGAUUACAGGGAGCUGUGGUCCCAAUGUGAACAGUCUCAGGGUCUAACAACAGAAGCAUAUUUGUGAGGUCACACACUGAUGUUGGACGGGAAGGCCUGGCUCUUCAUCCCAAAGGUGUUCUAUGCAGAACCAAACCCCGACUCGUCCAUCACUGCAUCCAACACUUUGCAUUGCACUUGCAGAUGUCUGGCUAUGUUGGAUGCAGCUGCUCGGCCAUGGAAACACAUUCCAUGAAGCUCUCUACACUCUGAGCUAAUCUGAAGGCCACAUGAAGUUCGGAGGUCUGAAGUGAUUGAUUCUACAGAAAGUUGGUGACAUCUGAGCACUUUGUGUCUCAGCAUCUGCUGACCCGCUCCGUCAUUUUACGCCACUUCAUGGCUGAGUCGCUGUCGUUCCCAGUCGCUUCCACUUUGUUAUAAUAUCACUGACAGCUGACUGCAGAAUAUUUGGGAGUGAGGAAACUUUUCACCUGGACUUGUUACACAGUGUUCGGCAGUAAAAGUCUGAAGCCAGCGUCAGGACUUCCUGUCGUCUCUCCAGCAGGCGGAGGAGCAACAACCAUCCCUCGUUCAGAGAUGCCCCCAUGGCCUUGUACACUCCCUCCUCCUCCUGUUUCUUGCU